AUGCAAGUCGAACGGUAACAGAGUAGCUUGCUACUGCUGACGACCGGCGCACGGGUGCGUAACGCGUAUACAAUCUGCCUUGUACUGAGGGAUAGCCUUUGGAAACGAAGAUUAAUACCUCAUAGUAUUGCGACAUCGCAUGGUGAUGCAAUUAAAGGUUACGGUACAAGAUGAGUAUGCGUCCUAUUAGCUAGAUGGAGUGGUAACGGCACCCCAUGGCAACGAUAGGUAGGGGCCCUGAGAGGGGGAUCCCCCACACUGGUACUGAGACACGGACCAGACUCCUACGGGAGGCAGCAGUGAGGAAUAUUGGACAAUGGAGGCAACUCUGAUCCAGCCAUGCCGCGUGCAGGAAGACUGCCCUAUGGGUUGUAAACUGCUUUUAUACAGGAAGAAACAGAACUACGUGUAGUUCCUUGACGGUACUGUAAGAAUAAGGAUCGGCUAACUCCGUGCCAGCAGCCGCGGUAAUACGGAGGAUCCAAGCGUUAUCCGGAAUCAUUGGGUUUAAAGGGUCCGUAGGUGGAUAAUUAAGUCAGAGGUGAAAUCCUGCAGCUCAACUGUAGAAUUGCCUUUGAUACUGGUUAUCUUGAGUUAUUAUGAAGUAGUUAGAAUAUGUAGUGUAGCGGUGAAAUGCAUAGAUAUUACAUAGAAUACCAAUUGCGAAGGCAGAUUACUAAUAAUAUACUGAC
rnacentral:rRNA from 1 species